AAAAAAGAGAGAGAGAGAGAGAAUAGAGGCAGAGAGAAGAAAAGAGAAGGGAGGAAAUAGAGAAAAGGAAGAGGAAAAGAAGAAGAAGAAGUGGAUUUUCAAGAUUGGGUGCUUUAUUUUUUCAAUUUCUCAUUUGAUUUAAAGAGGUAAGGAUAAGUAUAUUGAAUUAAAUUUUUUAGGGUUUAUGUGAAUUUUGUUUCAAUUCAAAGCUUAGCUAGAAUUAGGUAUUAUUGAUAUGUAUUUGAGGUUAUAAUUAAGAAUAUAGCUAAGAAAUAUGUAUAUUUGAAUAUUGAAGUUGAAGAAAGUGAAACUUUGAAAAUGAGUUUAUGAAAUAAAGACAUGUUCUUUGACAUUCUUGUGAUUAUAUGAUGUUAAAUACUUAAAAUUAAGGACUUGGGAUUUGAUUUCUCCAUUUUUUUUUUAAAAAAAAAAAAAAAAGCAAUUUUCAAUCUAUUGGAAGACAGGUGCUAUUUUCGAAAUUAUGCAAGAGAAGUGCUAUUUCUGUCAAUGGUCGGUGAUAAAUUUCAAAAUACACAAAACAGAUGCCAUAUUUCAAUAAUCUGAAAUUUUAGUGUUAUUUUGGUUAAAUAUUUGUUUUUCUCAAAUGUUACAAAUUUGAAACCUAGGUAAUGGAUUAAGUUAUGUGUAGGAGUUGUUGUAUAUGUACAAGUUAGUGAUUUUAACAAAGAAUAGUAAUUAAAUUGAUUUGAUUAUGUGUGAUAAUUGGUUGGUAAAUAAUCAAAGAGCAGAAAAGCGGGUGAAAUGGAUAUGCAAGAGUAAAUAUAAAAGUUGAGGAGUUAAGUAGAAGAUUUGUAUUAAUUUAAUUGUCAAGAUUUUAAUUUGAGUAAUUAUAUCUUUAUUUCAAGUAGUGGCUUAAAAGCUUAGAAAAACUUAUUGACCUUCAUAGCCUGUAGCUUGUCUUGAGUGACUGGUUAUCUACUUUUCGAAAAUAAGCAUUUAUUUAAAUUAUAUUAGUUCUCAAGCUUAGACGAAGAAAAUUGUUCUUUAGAUUUCUUCUAGUAAAUCAUAUAAACUGCAAAAGUUAGUAAUUUCAGAUGAUUGAUUUAGAAAAUGUUAUUUUCAUAAUAAAGUUAUUUUUUUAAUAAGUAAUUCUUCUAAAAGUUAAAUUCAAUUCAGUUAAACCAUUUCAUUGGCUCAUUAUUUCAAUUUUAAAUAUUUCAGCAUAUUUAAAGUUAUUUUUAAAACCAUCAGAAAUGACUCAGGUGAUUUUACCCUAGUUUGCACUUGUGUAAAUGUGUUUCCACAGUGUAUGACCCCAUAUGAUUAUUUUACCUGCUUUGCAUCGAUGAGAAUACGUUUUCACAAUGUAUGACUAGUUAUGAUAAUUUUACCCAAUGUAUACUAUUAUGAAUGUGUUUCUAUAGUGUAUGACCAUAUUAUAGUCAUCGGGCAGCUCUGUGCACAUAUGACCAGAAUUUCAGAAUUAAAUAACUUUUCCAUAUGUAUCGGUACUAACCGAUACAUGAGUAAGGUUAUUCCGAGUACUUUUUUGUACGAUUUUUUAGUAUUAUAUAGUUUGUCAGAUUUUAGACUAUCGAAUUUUGUUUAUUCAGUUUACAGAGUAAUGAUUUUAGCUUAUAAUAUUGUAAAUGAUAUUUUCACUCAUAUCAACUAUUCUAAAAGGUGACCAUGCGCUAUCAAUGCGCGAUGCAUGAUGGAAAUGCUAAGCCAAGUGGUUGGCACCUUAUUCAGCAGUCAACAAACCGCUAAUGCGUGCCUAAGCGUGAAUAUGCACACCUAGAAACACAUAAUUAUCAUUUUUUAACUUUUUUUAAUUUUUUUUAACAAUUCUUCGAAAUUAAAACUUGAAUGUUGAUUUUUUCACUUUAUCAGUUCCAAAUUCAAAAUAGUCGCUUAAAGCCUUGAACAAAGAAAAUUUUCCAAAAUUUUCUAUUUAUUUACUAUUUAAUAUUUAUAUUUGGAACUUAUCAUUUUGUUGAAAACUUUGAAAAAAAUGUAUAAAUUUUCUAUAAAUUUGUUUUAAAUGUUUGGCAAGUAUUAUUCUUAAUUAUUAAACGAUUUUUCGAUUGAUUAAAAAUUAAAAUAAGAAAACACAUUUUAUGCUUUUUACACCUAUGCCUCGCGUAAGCUCGCUUAGCCUAUAGCUUAGUCUCCACGCAUCGUCAAGUAUUACGCCUUUUAGAAUACUACUCAUAUCUACUGAUAUCAGAUUAUUUAUAUCCAUUAUACCUUAUAGUUACUUAUCUAGAAUAAAGAAUAAUGGAUUUUACAAUACAAUCAUGUUUUAGUUUUAAUAAGUAUUAUCAGAUUUCAGAAUUUUUCAAAGUUUAAUAGAGUAAGAAUUUUUAGAAAAUAUGCAUAAACUGAAAAAUAUACUUAUGUGCAAACUAUUUACUCAUUGAGCUACAAACUCAUACUUUGUUACCCUUUUUCUUAUCAGAUAGUCGUUGAGUUGAGCAUCAUUGGAACCUGUCAAUCUAUCGAGUUGAGCCACACACAUUGUCAUUAGUUGUAUGACUCAUUUUGACAGUCUACAUAGUUCAUAUUUCUUUUGGAAUACAUGUAUGUUUUGUUGGAAAAGUUAAUUAGCAAAUCAUGUAUACAUAUCAUGGGCUCAUUGUACAUUUGGUAUCCUUAGUGCUUUAGGGGACUUUUGUUUGUAAAGUAUAGUAAAUAUCGAUUUGCCAGCAUUUUAUUUUCAAUAUUUGUAUUUUGAGGGAAUAGUGUGCCUUAUUUAAAAUUGUAUGAAC
rnacentral:lncRNA from 1 species